rnacentral:rRNA from 1 species
UACGUAGGGUGCAAGCGUUGUCCGGAAUUAUUGGGCGUAAAGAGCUCGUAGGCGGUUUGUCGCGUCGAAUGUGAAAACCCGGGGCUCAACCCCGGGCCUGCAUUCGAUACGGGCAGACUAGAGUUCGGUAGGGGAGUCUGGAAUUCCUGGUGUAGCGGUGAAAUGCGCAGAUAUCAGGAGGAACACCGGUGGCGAAGGCGGCUCUCUGGGGUAUUUCUGACGCUGAGGCACGAAAGCCAGGGGAGCGAACGGG